UACGUAGGGGGCAAGCGUUAUCCGGAUUUACUGGGUGUAAAGGGAGCGUAGGCGGCUGUGUAAGCCAGAAGUGAAAGCCCGAGGCUCAACCACGGGACUGCUUUUGGAACUACAUGGCUUGAUUGCAGGAGAGGCAAGUGGAAUUCCUAGUGUAGCGGUGAAAUGCGUAGACAUUAGGAGGAACACCAGUGGCGAAGGCGGCUUGCUGGACUGUAAAUGACGCUGAGGCUCGAAAGCGUGGGGAGCAAACAGG
rnacentral:rRNA from 1 species